rnacentral:rRNA from 1 species
UCGCCUGUUUAACAAAAACAUCUCUUAUAGUUUUUAAUUAUAAGUAUAACCUGCUCAAUGAAAAUUUUAAUAGCCGCAAUUUUAUUGUGCUAAGGUAGCAUAAUCAUUUGUUUUUUAAUUUAAAACUAGAAUGAAAGGUUUAACAUUUUAAUUUCUAUAUUUUUAAAAUUUCACUAAAUUUUACUAAAUAUAAAAAUAUAUUUAUAAAAAAAUUAGACGACAAGACCCUAUUGAACUUAACUUAUGUUUAGCUGGGGAAGCUUUUAAAUAAAAAUUUUUAACCAAAUAAACUAAAUUUUCCGAUAAAAACGAAAUUUAAUCAAGUUACCAUAGGGAUAACAGCGUAAUUUUUAUUUAAAGUUCUUAUUAAAAUAAAAGUUUGCGACCUCGAUGUUGAAUUAAAUUUUCUUUUUACUUCGCAAUAGAAAAACAAGUAGGUCUGUUCGACCUUUAAAAAUUUACAUGAUUUGAGUUCAAACCGGUGUAAGCCAGGUUGGUUUCUAUCUUUUUUAUAUAUUUUCUAGUACGAAAGGACAAAAAAUAUUAUUUUAAAUAAAUAUAUUUGGCAGAAAAUUGCAUUAGAAUUAGAAUCUAAUUAU